UUGGAGGGCAAGUCUGGUGCCAGCAGCCGCGGUAAUUCCAGCUCCAAUAGCGUAUAUUAAAGUUGUUGCAGUUAAAAAGCUCGUAGUUGAAUUUCGGGACCAUCAUGUCGGUCGUGCCUCGGUACGUACUGGCAUUGUUGGUUUCUCCCUUCUGACGAACCAUGAUGUCAUUUAUUUGGUGUUGUGGGGAAUCAGGACUGUUACUUUGAAAAAAUUAGAGUGUUUAAGCAGGCUCACGCUUGAAUACAUUAGCAUGGAAUAAUGAAAUAGGACGUUUGAUUCUAUUUUGUUGGUUUCUAGGAUCGACGUAAUGAUUAAUAGGGAUAGUUGGGGGCAUUAGUAUUCAAUUGUCAGAGGUGAAAUUCUUGGAUUUAUUGAAGACUAACUACUGCGAAAGCAUUUGCCAAGGAUGUUUUCAUUAACCAAGAACGAAAGUUAGGGGAUCGAAGACGAUCAGAUACCGUCGUAGUCUUAACCAUAAACUAUGCCGACUAGGGAUCGGACGAAGUUAAUUUUAUAAUGACGCGUUCGGCGCCUUACGGGAAAC
rnacentral:rRNA from 1 species